ACGGGGACCCGCACAAGCGGUGGAUGAUGUGGUUUAAUUCGAUGCAACGCGAAAAACCUUACCCACCUUUGACAUGGCAGGAAUCCCGAAGAGAUUUGGGAGUGCUCGAAAGAGAACCUGCACACAGGUGCUGCAUGGCUGUCGUCAGCUCGUGUCGUGAGAUGUUGGGUUAAGUCCCGCAACGAGCGCAACCCUUGCCAUUAGUUGCUACGAAAGGGCACUCUAAUGGGACUGCCGGUGACAAACCGGAGGAAGGUGGGGAUGACGUCAAGUCCUCAUGGCCCUUAUAGGUGGGGCUACACACGUCAUACAAUGGCCGGUACAGAGGGUAGCCAACCCGCGAGGGGGAGCCAAUCCCACAAAGCCGGUCGUAGUCCGGAUCGCAGUCUGCAACUCGACUGCGUGAAGUCGGAAUCGCUAGUAAUCGCGGAUCAGCAUGUCGCGGUGAAUACGUUCCCGGGUCUU
rnacentral:rRNA from 1 species